GGAGGACCUUCGUAAUGCUGUGAUACCGCAAUCGUUUAUUUUCAUCUCACUCCAAAUUAAGGAAAUUGCUUCGCCAGUUUGUGCAAAAAUCUGCCACUAUCUAUAUUGAUCGUAGCUCGGUCCAACCAAAGGUUUCGUGUGGUAAUAUAACUUCUGAGAGUUGUUUGCUGAGUGGUACCAUACGUUCAGCACCGAUUAAAUACACUGCGAACAGGAGUGUUGGUAACAAGUUACCGCACCUAUUUACUGUGUAACGCGGCUAGACAGCAUUUGUAAACAAGACCAAGGAAAUUACAAAGACCGUGACUUUGCUGGGAAAGUUUCACUACUCAGGACGCUAUAAAACGUUAUAUUUUGCUGGAUAUUUUCGAUCUCUGUCGAGCCAUUUUCAUAUUGACUUGUUGAACUUCCGGGAUUACAGGGAAAGUCCUUGACUUCGUAUAGGCGGAAUCCAGGGAGUGCCUGUAGAAAAUACCCUUGAGAACAUUCAUAGCUGUAAAAUUAUGGAUUUUAUCAUUAAAAUGGUUUGUUUUAAAUAUUAAACUGCUUUUUAGGUUAAUGUA